GUUAUUAGGAAAUCAAUAGUGGAGGAUAUUCAUAUACAUAUGAUAUACACAAGAUGUCUUCUUGCACCCAACCACAUAUACCCUCUCCUCUUCCUUCCUCUCUCUCACUAAAACCUUCUACAGAGACAAACAGACUACUCCUUCCACUCCCAACUUGUUCUCUGCAUGUGUUCAUGUGUGGGCUGUGUUGAAUAUACAUAAUUUGGGAUUCAAUUGAAAUGAGUUGGUGAGUAAAGAAGAUGCCUUUUUCUUUGCCUCUUCCUCUUCUCUGUGCUUCUGAAAUGGUGUCUUCUUCCGAGCACUCAUUGUCCUGGUGAGCAGCAUAAUUACAUUACAAAUGUUGCAAAAUACAAAAGGAACAAAACUAUCCAGCAACCAUAAGAGCAUAAAAAACUGUCACAAACCCAGGUACACAUAUUGAACCAAAAUAGUCGAGAAACACGUUGAAUAUUCCCAUAUGCUCAAUAAUGCAAACAUGCUCCAGCAAGCAAACAGUAUCAAUAAGCUCUUAUAAAUAAUAACACUGGAUUCAAACAAUCGAAUGGGACGCACAGCAUUCUACUGUAUAAGAAAAACACUAAAAAAUUAAAACCAAAUACAGCCUGAAGUAGAUUGAGCUAUAUCCACAAUUACCAACUUAUUCUGAAAAUUCAAUUAUUGGCGCUGAAUAGAGUGGUAUAGCAGCAGCAAUUACACACGAUGAUGCAUCCACAAAGUAGGUUGAGAAGAAUUACAAAAUUAGGGAUUUUCUACAAGUCACAUAAGCUACAAAGUUUGGUACUUGGUCCGCCUUAUUCGUUGCAAAACCCUCAUGGAUUUUUCGUUUAGUAUCAGAAAAAAUAAUGAGUUUCUAAGAAAUGACAAAAUUUUAGAGCGAGAGAAAGGAGGGAGAGAGAGGACUUACUGGGGAUUAAUGGAUCUGUGUGAUUAUAAAAAAAUUCUGAUGCAGAAAGUUUUAAGAGUGUGCUGAAGCCAAACACGACGCAUUGAACGAUUGAGGGAGAAAGACACUCUUUUUUUCCUAUUUACCUAAAACUGGCCGGACCCGACCCGCACAUAUGAGACAACCCGGAU
rnacentral:lncRNA from 1 species